GCUGGGCCUGGUGGUGGCGCAUGCCUGUAAUCCCAGCUACUCAGGAGGCUGAGGCAGGAGAAUCGCUUGAACCCAGGAGGUGGAGGUUGCAGUGAGCCAAGACUGUGCCACUGCACUCCAGCCUGGGUGACAAAGUGAGACUCUGUCUCAA
rnacentral:SRP_RNA from 1 species